rnacentral:rRNA from 1 species
UACGUAGGGGGCAAGCGUUGUCCGGAUUUAUUGGGCGUAAAGGGCGCGUAGGCGGUUUCUUAAGUUUGGAGUGACAGUGGGUGGCUUAACUACCCAAGGCCUCUGAAAACUGGGGAACUUGAGGACCAGAGAGGGACAUAGAAUUCCGGGUGGAGUGGUGAAAUGCGUAGAUAUCCGGAGGAAUACCAAAGGCGAAGGCAGUGUCCUGGAGGGUGACUGACGCUGAGGCGCGAAAGCGUGGGUAGCAAACGGG